UGGGGAAUAUUGGACAAUGGGGGGAACCCUGAUCCAGCCAUGCCGCGUGUGUGAAGAAGGCCUUAUGGUUGUAAAGCACUUUAAGCGAGGAGGAGGGUACUGGUAUUAAUACUACCAGGUACUGGACGUUACUCGCAGAAUAAGCACCGGCUAACUCUGUGCCAGCAGCCGCGGUAAUACAGAGGGUGCGAGCGUUAAUCGGAUUUACUGGGCGUAAAGUGUGCGUAGGCGGCUAAUUGAGUCGGAUGUGAAAUCCCCGAGCUUAACUUGGGAAUUGCAUUCGAUACUGGUUAGCUAGAGUGUGGGAGAGGAUGGUAGAAUUCCAGGUGUAGCGGUGAAAUGCGUAGAGAUCUGGAGGAAUACCGAUGGCGAAGGCAGCCAUCUGGCCUAACACUGACGCUGAGGUACGAAAGCAUGGGGAGCAAACAGG
rnacentral:rRNA from 1 species